rnacentral:rRNA from 1 species
CCCGCACGCCGGAAGACCAAGGGUUCCUGCGCAACGCUAAUCGGCGCAGGGUGAGUCGGCCCCUAAGGCGAGACCGAAAGGUGUAGUCGAUGGGAAACGGGUUAAUAUUCCCGUACCUUGGAUAGCUGCGAUGGAGAGACGGAGAAGGCUAGGUGAGCCGGGCGACGGUUGCCCCGGUUUAAGCAUGUAGGGAGUGGACUUAGGCAAAUCCGGGUCCACAAUCCCGAGACGCGACGACGAGUUCCUUUUAGGAACGAAGUCAUUGAUGCCCUGCUUCCAGGAAAAUCUUCUAAGCUUCAGGCUAUUCGAGACCGUACCCCAAACCGACACAGGUGGUCAGGUAGAGAAUACCAAGGCGCUUGAGAGAACUCGGGUAAAGGAACUAGGCAAAAUGGUGCCGUAACUUCGGGAGAAGGCACGCCGGUGUGUAUGUGAAACCCCUGCGGGUGGAGCGGAAGCCGGUCGAAGAUACCAGGCCCCUGCGACUGUUUAUUAAAAACACAGCACUCUGCAAACACGAAAGUGGACGUAUAGGGUGUGACGCCUGCCCGGUGCCGGAAGGUUAAUUGAUGGGGUUAGCUUAGGCGAAGCUCUUGAUCGAAGCCCCGGUAAACGGCGGCCGUAACUAUAACGGUCCUAAGGUAGCGAAAUUCCUUGUCGGGUAAGUUCCGACCUGCACGAAUGGCGUAACGAUGGGGGCGCUGUCUCUACCCGAGACUCAGUGAAAUUGAAAUCGCCGUGAAGAUGCGGUGUAUCCGCGGCUAGACGGAAAGACCCCGUGAACCUUUACUAUAGCUUCACAGUGAACUUUGAAUAUGCUUGUGUAGGAUAGCUGGGAGGCUUUGAAACCAGGACGCCAGUUCUGGUGGAGCCAACCUUGAAAUACCAGCCUGGCAUGUUUGAGGUUCUAACUCUGGCCCCUUAUCGGGGUUGAGGACACUGUGUGGUGGGUAGUUUGACUGGGGCGGUCUCCUCCCAAAGCGUAACGGAGGAGCACAAAGGUGGGCUAAGCAUGGUCGGACAUCAUGCGGUUAGUGUAAUGGCACAAGCCCGCUUGACUGCGAGACAGACACGUCGAGCAGGUACGAAAGUAGGUCAUAGUGAUCCGGUGGUUCUGUAUGGAAGGGCCAUCGCUCAACGGAUAAAAGGUACUCCGGGGAUAACAGGCUGAUACCGCCCAAGAGUUCACAUCGACGGCGGUGUUUGGCACCUCGAUGUCGGCUCAUCACAUCCUGGGGCUGAAGCCGGUCCCAAGGGUAUGGCUGUUCGCCAUUUAAAGUGGUACGCGAGCUGGGUUUAGAACGUCGUGAGACAGUUCGGUCCCUAUCUGCCGUGGACGUUGGAGAUUUGAGGAAAGUUGCUCCUAGUACGAGAGGACCGGAGUGAACGAACCGCUGGUGUUCGGGUUGUUUCGCCAGAAGCAUUGCCCGGUAGCUAUGUUCGGACAGGAUAACCGCUGAAAGCAUCUAAGCGGGAAGCCCCUUCCAAGAUGAGAUCUCCCCGAGGCCUCGAGCCUCCUGAAGAGCCGUUCAAGACCAGGACGUUGA